rnacentral:rRNA from 1 species
GCCCAGACUCCUACGGGAGGCAGCAGUGGGGAAUAUUGCACAAUGGGGGAAACCCUGAUGCAGCGACGCCGCGUGAGUGAAGAAGUAGUUCGGUAUGUAAAGCUCUCUCAGCAGGAAAGAAAAUGACGGUACCUGACUAAGAAGCCCCGGCUAACUACGUGCCAGCAGCCGCGGUAAUACGUAGGGGGCAAGCGUUAUCCGGAUUUACUGGGUGUAAAGGGAGCGUAGACGGUGAAGCAAGUCUGAAGUGAAAGGCGGGGGCUCAACCCCCGGACUGCUUUGGAAACUGUUUGACUGGAGUGCAGGAGAGGUAAGUGGGAUUCCUAGUGUAGCGGUGAAAUGCGUAGAUAUUAGGAGGAACACCAGUGGCGAAGGCGGCUUACUGGACUGUAACUGACGUUGAGGCUCGAAAGCGUGGGGAGCAAACAGGAUUAGAUACCCUAGUA